UACGUAGGGGGCAAGCGUUUGUCCGGAUUUAUUGGGCGUAAAGAGCGUGUAGGCGGCCAAACAGGUCAGCUGUGAAAACUCGAGGCUCAACCUCGAGACGUCGGUUGAAACCGUUUGGCUAGAGUCCGGAAGAGGAGAGUGGAAUUCCCGGUGUAGCGGUGAAAUGCGCAGAUAUCGGGAAGAACACCCGUGGCGAAGGCGGCUCUCUGGGACGGUACUGACGCUGAGACGCGAAAAGCGUGGGGGAGCGAACAGG
rnacentral:rRNA from 1 species